rnacentral:rRNA from 1 species
AUUGAACGCUGGCGGCAGGCUUAACACAUGCAAGUCGAGCGGAGAGAGGUAGCUUGCUACUGAUCUUAGCGGCGGACGGGUGAGUAAUGCUUAGGAAUCUGCCUAUUAGUGGGGGACAACAUUUCAAAAGGAAUGCUAAUACCGCAUACGUCCUACGGGAGAAAGCAGGGGAUCUUCGGACCUUGCGCUAAUAGAUGAGCCUAAGUCGGAUUAGCUAGUUGGUGGGGUAAAGGCCUACCAAGGCGACGAUCUGUAGCGGGUCUGAGAGGAUGAUCCGCCACACUGGGACUGAGACACGGCCCAGACGCCUACGGGAGGCAGCAGUGGGGAAUAUUGGACAAUGGGCGCAAGCCUGAUCCAGCCAUGCCGCGUGUGUGAAGAAGGCCUUAUGGUUGUAAAGCACUUUAAGCGAGGAGGAGGCUACUUUAGUUAAUACCUAGAGAUAGUGGACGUUACUCGCAAAAUAAGCACCGGCUAACUCUGUGCCAGCCGCCGCCGUAAUAC